AGAGUUUGAUCAUGGCUCAGAUUCCAACGCUGGGGGCAUGCCUUACACAUGCAAGUCGAACGGCAGCGCGGGACUUCGGUCCGCCGGCGAGUGGCGAACGGGUGAGUAAUAUAUCGGAACGUACCUUUCAGUGGGGGAUAACGUAGCGAAAGUUACGCUAAUACCGCAUAUUCUGUGAGCAGGAAAGCAGGGGAUCGCAAGACCUUGCGCUGAUUGAGCGGCCAAUAUCAGAUUAGCUAGUUGGUGAGGUAAAGGCUCACCAAGGCGACGAUCUGUAGCGGGUCUGAGAGGAUGAUCCGCCACACUGGAACUGAGACACGGUCCAGACUCCUACGGGAGGCAGCAGUGGGGAAUUUUGGACAAUGGGGGCAACCCUGAUCCAGCCAUGCCGCGUGAGUGAAGAAGGCCUUCGGGUUGUAAAGCUCUUUCGGCCGGGAAGAAAUCGCACGGGUUAAUACCCCGUGUGGAUGACGGUACCGGAAUAAGAAGCACCGGCUAAC
rnacentral:rRNA from 1 species